rnacentral:rRNA from 1 species
CCUACGGGAGGCAGCAGUGAGGAAUAUUGGUCAAUGGACGAGAGUCUGAACCAGCCAAGUAGCGUGAAGGAUGACUGCCCUAUGGGUUGUAAACUUCUUUUAUAAAGGAAUAAAACGAGGCACGUGUGCCUUUUUGCAUGUACUUUAUGAAUAAGGAUCGGCUAACUCCGUGCCAGCAGCCGCGGUAAUACGGAGGAUCCGAGCGUUAUCCGGGUUUAUUGGGUUUAAAGGGAGCGUAGAUGGGUUGUUAAGUCAGUUGUGAAAGUUUGCGGCUCAACCGUAAAAUUGCAAUUGAUACUGGCAGUCGUGAGUACAGUUGAGGUAGGCGGAAUUCGUGGUGUAGCGGUGAAAUGCGUAGAUAUCACGAAGAACCCCGAUUGCGAAGGCAGCUUACUAAACUGUGACUGACAUUGAUGCUCGAAAGUGUGGGUAUCAAACAGGAUUAGAUACCCCUGUAGUC